AUGCUAUUAUUUCUACAGUCUCCAAAGAAAGUUGGCGAUGACAUUGCCAAGGCUACCAGUGACUGGAAAGGUCUCAGAAUUACAGUGAAACUGACCAUCCAGAACAGACAGGCCCAGAUCGAGGUGGUGCCCUCUGCCUCUGCCCUAAUCAUCAAAGCCACCAAAGAGCUACCAAGAGACAGGAAGAAGCAGAAGAACAUUAAACACAGUGGGAACAUUACUUUUGAUGAGAUUGUCAACAUUGCCCGGCAGAUGAGACACCGGUCUUUUGCUAGAGAACUUUCUGGAACUACCAAGGAGAUCCUGGGUACUGCACAGUCUGUGGGCUGCAAUGUGGAUGGCCGACACCCU
rnacentral:lncRNA from 1 species